UAGGACUAAGAAAGAAGCAGUGGUGUUGAACCUUAGCUGAGUGAGAGUUCCUAUGUCUUGUGCUCUCACUUACUUAAAGGCAAAUUUUGCUGUGUACUGAAAAUACCUCUCAGAUUUAUGUUGUCAAUUAAGUAAUCUAAUGUCUAAGUGAGAGAGGAGAGAUGUCUCAACGGAGUUACAGAAAGCAUGGAGUCACGCUGUCAGUGAAAAGUGCUCUUGCAAAGGCUCAUUUCUGGCUUGUCCCUCCAUCACACAGCAUUGAAGGGUUUGCACCGUGGGUUGUGCCUCAUUGAAGACAACACAGUCAGUUUUAAGGAGUUGGCUGGUAGAUCACACUCAAAGGCUUGAGGUCAAUGGCUUGAAGUCCAAGAGGUAAGUGAAAGGCGUCCUUCCUCGGGGCUGGUUUUGGGUCUGGCCCUUUUUAUCAUCUUUGUUGGAGGCAUGGACAGGGGGAGAGCACCCACAGCAAGUUUGCCAGCAAUGCCCAGCUGAGUGGUGUGGCUGACACUCCAGAGGAAAGGAAUACCAUCCAGAGGAACCUUGAAAAUCUUGAGAGUCAGGCUUGUGUGAACUUCAUGAAGUUCAACAAAAUCAAGUAGAUGGUCCUGCAUGUUGAUUAGUGAAAUUCCAAGAACAGCUGCAAGCUGAGUGUAGAAUGGAUUUACAGCAGCUCUGAGGAGAAGGACUUGGGUGUGUUGGUUCAUGAGAAGCUCAACAUAAGCCAGCAAUGUGUACUUGCUCUUCAGAAAGUCAAACACAUCCUGGGCUGCAUCAAAAAUGGCAUGGCCAGCAGGUUAAGGGAGGUGAUUCUGUCCCUUCACUCCACCCUGGUGAGACCCCACCUGAAGUACAGCAUCCACUUCUGGUGCCCACAAUAUAAGAAGAACAUGGACAUUUUAGAGCAAUUCCAUAGCAGGGCAACAAAGAGGGCUGGAGUGAGGAAAUGCUGAGAGAGACAGGGUUAUUCAGCCUGGAGAAGAAAAGACUUUGGGGUGACCUAAUUGAGGCGUUUCACUACCUGAACAGGGCUGACAAGAAAGAUGGAGCGGGACUUUUUUACAAAGUCAUGUAGUAAUAGGAAAAGGGGAAAUGGCUUUAAAAGGAAAGAAAGUAGGUUUAGACUAAAUAUUAGGAAAUUCCUAAUUUCCUAAUACUCCUCACCUAUAUAUUAGGAAAUUCCUCUCCUCCUGUGAAGGUGGUGAGAUGCUGGAACAGGUUUCCCAGAGAUGUUGUGGCUACCUUACCUAUCCUUGUGGCUGCCUUACCUAUACCUAUAACUGAUUACACUAUACCUGUGUGGAAGUGUUUAAGGCCAGGUUGGAUGGAGCUCUGAGUAACCUGAUCUAGUGGAAGGUGUCCCUGUCCAUGG